UCCGGCAUGGCUCAGUAAGUAGUAGCGCAUGACUGUUAAUCAUGAAGUCGUAGGUUCGAGGCCUACUGCCGGAG
rnacentral:tRNA from 1 species